rnacentral:lncRNA from 1 species
UCUAAUGGGUUUUUGUAUUUUCCUUCUGAAAUAAGGAGAGACCAACUGCUGAGAGGGAAACGGGAGAAGGAAGAGAGAAAAGUUUGAAGAGAACAAAUGAGAUCUGAAGUGGUUACUGGAGAAAACUGGACACACUGCUAAGCAGCACAGGAGAAGGUUCAGGAGACUGAGUAGUUCUGUCGAGCACAGAAUUUUGUCAGAGCAUCAACAGAGCCUAUGAAUAGCCGGUUCUCAGAAGUGGAAAGCUG